rnacentral:miRNA from 1 species
AGGGAUGUCCAAACUCCGGCCCUCCAGAUGUUGCUGAACUACAACUCCCAUGAUUCGCUGGCUAUGUAUUCCAUUCAAAGAAUCAUGGGAGUUGUAGUUCAGCAACUUCUGGAGGGACAGAGUUUGGACAUCCUU